UUUCGAAAUACAGUUUUGAAAUAUUAUUUGCUUAUCUUAUUUAUAAGGUUAGCAGAAUUUCUGAAGUAAGAGAGUAUAGAUUAUGACUAAAAUUUAAUUAGCACGCUAAAGCUAUUUUUAAAUAGAAGUAUAAAUGUAAAAUGGAAAGGAAUCCUGUUUAAAAUUAUACAUAAUUACCUCAUAAACCUACUCCCUCUACAACCAAUCAAAAUAAUAAUAUUCUGUAAUAAAAUGAUGUAUAACAUUGAUGUUCUCUUUUGUGGAGAAUAGGCCUUUUUAAUCUCAUUUGACACUGUACUUCUCAUUUCCAGUUGGACAGGAUGAGAAUAUUUCGGGCCAGUCAUUUCCUGUUUGAGUACAUAAACAGUUCACCAUCUAAAAGAAGAAUAUACAGUUUUAACUUGCUGAUGCAGAAAUAAUUGAUAAUUUAUCUUUCAGUGUAAUACACAGAUAUGCACACAGUAUGUAUUAUAUAGUUUCAUAUACAUUAAAAUCCCAAACUACUUUUUAGUAUGCAUUAAUUUUCCCUUUGUCUAGGUUCAUUUUAGGUUAGUCUUAAACUAAUACUUUUCUUGAUUUUUCAAAGUACAGUUUUAUUGAACAUUCUUAUCCACUGCCAGUUUGCAUUCUUUUACAUUAAAAAUAUUCUUUAUAAUGAAUUAGUAUGAUUUUGAAUAAACCACCCAAGAAAUAUGAAUAAGUUCUUAGAAUUUAUGACAAUAUAAACUUCUUACAUAAGAGGAAGCACUAGAAGUUUAUUUUAAAAACUUCUUGAUCCAUAUCUGCCUUCUGUUUUCUAUAGGACUUCUUAAUGUUUUUUACUUUUGCUUUUCUUGCUGCAUAAAUUAUAUCCAGUGAUAGUUUAAAGAGUAAAAUUAAAGUGCCGGCAAGGUGGCAUUACACAAAUUUUAACGUAUAAUACCUGGAAUCUUUUCCCUAAAUCAUUCUAUUUUGUCCCUGUUUUUCCUCCUCCAUGAGAUCAGUUCACAAACAAUAAGCUUUUUAAAAAUUUAUGCUCAGGAUUGCUAUGAUCUUUGUAAAGAAUUUUGCUUAUCUUAAAUACUCUGUCAAGCAAAUAUUUAUAUUUAACCUAUUUGCAAGAGAAAAUCUUGGCAGUUUUAAUCACCCAUAACUAUAACUUUAAUAAAGUAUAAUGACUAUGAAAAACAAGUUUCUCCUUAACUGUCCUAAUAAUAUAUUAUUUAUAGUAUGACCAGGCCUUCCAAAGGUUGUAAAUCUUAACAAAGCCAAAUAGAGUUUAACCCAUGUGAAUGAGUUUAUGUGUAUAUGUUUAUAUGUGCUGGUGUAUGUGUUUAUGUACACAGAUAAAAAGUUCAAGAAAUAAAUACAUUUCUUUUAUGGCCAGCCUUCUUUUGAGCCAGUACCACCGAGAUAAGUCGAUCUUUGCUUAUUUUUCCAAAAUUGGAAAAUUUAAGAAGAUAAUAAAAACACUUAUCUAUAAUAUAUUAAUUUUGCACCUACUCAAAAUUUAUUAGUUUAUAUAUGCCAAUUAUAAAGACGUUAUGGUGUUUAAGAACAGUCAUUAGGUGCUACAGGUAUAGGUCAGUGGUAGAGUACACAUACACAAGGCCCUGGGUUCAGUCCCCAUCAAAGACUACAUUUCAGGGCCAGGGAUUUAGCUCAGUGGUUCCGCCGCCUGCCUCACAACCACAAGGUCCCAAGUUCGAUCCCUGGUACCAAAAAAAAAAAAAAAUUCAUAGUUCAUAAUUACAUAAAAUUAUUUGCUGGGGAAUAUAUUAAUAGUGGUUCUGGAUGAUGAGACUUUGGAGUUUUUAUUUUUCUUUUAUGUAUUUUUUUCAAUCAUGAGCAUUUUAUUUCUAAAACCAGAAAAAGAAAAUUAUAAAAAGUUUUUUAAAGAUUUAAAAUUACAUUAAAAGCACUAACAUAUAAUAACUUUACUAAAAUCACUUUUAUUACCAAAGAUCAGAAUAUAUUUUGGAGUCCUUUGGUCUACCAGUUCUCGUUAUUCAAGUAUGUGAUUUGGUAAAGCUAAAAAUAAUUAUGCCCCCUUUUUUUCUUUUUUUUGUAGUAUAAUAGUACGAUGGUUAAGCACAUGGACUUUGUGGUUAACUCAGUUCUAACCCUAUAAAAUGGGGCCAGUCUACUGCCUCAUGGAGUUGCUGUAUUUAAUAAAAUAUUAUUCACUGAGCAUGUAGUAAUUAACGACAUAACUACCUAACAGCUUAAGUAAUAAUGGUAAUAAUUUGUGGCCACAGGCUUGCAGGGCUUGACAUUUCCUUUGCAAUUGCACUUUCUAAAAGAAAACAUUUCUCUACCAACUAUUUGAUGGUAGUAUUCUGUGUAGAGUUGGGGUUUAAGAAGAGAAAGAUACUUUUAUAAUAAAACACAUUGUUAUUCUAUAAACUGUUGUAAAGAAGCAUACCUACAGUUGUAUAAAAUUUUUUAAAAGCCCUUCUAGAACUAUGAGUAACAGACUUGCUUCAAAGACCGUUUAGUCACACUUGUAUUCACCUUAAACCACAGUCUACAACGUGUGCUCAACAGCUUGCACCCAAAUAGCAUCUUGGGGUUUUUGGUACUGAGCAUUGAACUCGGGACUUUGCGCUUGCAAGGCAGGCACCAGUACCACUGAGCUAAAUCCCCGAUCCCCAAAUAGUGUCUUAACCGAAAAGAUUCACUGUGAUGGUGCUUUAUAGGAUCUCCAAAGUGCUUUCCUAGGUACUGCCUAAAUCGAGCUUCAGAUUACCCUUGUAAUCCAGACAGGUAGCUGUUGUGUCCACUGUGGGAGUGAGGACACAGCUUUAGAGUGGGUGGCAUGUCUGGAGAUCAGAGAGCUCCCAGGAUGAGGCUGAUGCCCAGAGCAGGGCCUGGAGCCAGUAGAUACUUAGUGCUGACAAGUGACUGAAGGGUGGGAAGUGAAUGUCAAGUUGCUCAUCAGGCAGUGUCUUAAUUCCUGGUUCUACUACAAAAUACAGAGUAGAAAGUCUGCUAAAGGAAGAGUUCUACUAUAGACAUUUUAAGCCUUCAAAUAAAGGAAUAAGAGUACUAGCCCUAUUCAUUGAGGUCUUACUAUUUUGCCAGUGCUUUGUGUGUGUUAACUCAUUUCAUCUUCACACAGCCUCACGAGUGAGGUAUCAUGUUCCCUUAGUUGACUGAUGAGCAAGCUGAACAGAGCAGUAAACAUAAUCAAGGUCACACAUUUAGGCAGUGGCAGAGCUGUUAUGUGAGUCUGCUCAUCUACUUGCUGUAUUGCCUCUCAGAGUCCUUUUUUUUUUAAACAUAAAUCUUUCAUAGUUUUAUGUAGUUAACUCUUCAAAGAACCCAAAAGUUAUAACUUUUCAUUAUAUAUUCUCAUUCAGGCCUUGGAAUUGUCUGUAUAGUUGUUUCCCAAAAGAUUUUGUGUACCACUCUCCCUUCAUUUCAGAUAUGCACAGUUUUUCUUAGCAAGUGGAUGUAAUAAAGGAACUCCUGUGUUCCAUCCUUGCUGUUUCAGUUGAUCUUCAUUGGCACUUGAGACUUUGUUGUAAAGAACAACUAAAUUCUAAGCAUAAGACUGUCUCAAAUCGUGAGUUUAUUCCUGUCUAAGAAAAUUUUGUUUCAUUAGCUAAAGGAAGCUUAGAAAUAUAAAGUCUUCUGCUUUCUUCCAGCAUAAAUAAUGCUGGUAUGUAGACCACCCUACAGUAAAGUUUCUGCCAGGGUCAAGCAAUUAUUCCAGCAUUAGAUACUAUUAAAAGGAAUGAGGCAAAAUCGUGCAUACCGGUGAUUAUGACUCAUGAUUGUCCUUAACAGAAUGCAAACAUCUUUUCAUUAUUAGUUUGCUAGUUAAGCAGUAGUGUGGUGCAGUAAGGAAUUUAUCGAUUUUGUUAUAAAAUCCCAUUCUAAAAUUCAUAAGGAAAUGUACUUAAGAAAUUGAUAGUAGUGUCACACUUUAAAAGUAAUCACCCAAAUUGCUUUUCCACCUGUUGCACAUAGUUUAUUUAAAUGAAGAAUUAGCACUAGUCUUAAGUCUCUGUUUUGUCCUGUAUAAUUCAAAGUUUGCUUUUCUUCCAUUUCUUCACAAUAGGGUAACAGAAAGAAUAAUAUUAAAAGUUAGAGACUUGAAUAAUUACCUGUUAAGUAUUCUGUGACUAACAAACGCUGGCUUUUGCAUAUAGUGGACCUGCAUCUGAGACUGGCUGCCUGGCUUUCCAGUGGGCAAGUCUGAAUGGAGAGCCUGGGUAAAGAGGCAGCUCUCCUCAGCUUUCCUGAUACAACCCUUCUGUUUUGUAGUGUGCUGGUUUUUUGGUUUAGUCACUCAAAGGUUAGAGUUGAAGAGUUAAAGCCCUAGGCACUUGUGGAAUGUUUGCCUAGUCUAGUUAUUCAUCGUUUGGUGUGUCCCUCUUCCUCCCUGGCUUGUGGCUCUCAAGUAUACCAAAGGAUAUUUUGUUCUGUUGAAAGCCUCAGGAGUAAAAGGAAAGUGUUGCAAGCAUUCCCAAACAUACUUCCACCUGUCCAGUGGUGGUGAACCUGUGGCACACCACAGCAGGCUGUUUGUUAUCAUUGAAGGCUCUAAGAGGUUCGCCAUCACUGACAUCAGUGUUAAAUUAAAAAGCACUAACCAAGCACAAGUGAGCCCUAAACAGCCUUAUGAGUUUCUUCCUCUUUAAGCAGCAAUUUAAAGGCCUGGUCAUGAAAUAGAGAGUUAAGGAAAAUUGUCAGAUAUAUAUUUUUAAACAGUGAAAAUGUAAAGGGUAGUGUGAACAAACAUAGUUUACUCCCUUUUAAUUUUAAUGUCCUUGGUUACAUAUUUCCAUAUGAAAGUGAAAAGAGAACUAUGCUAAGGAGUAGAGAAGAAAAUCAGCUCUGAUUUAAAUAUGACCAGUUUAAACAGAAUUUUUGUUAUUUCCUUUACCAAAUUUGUGCUGUGCUCAUGAGAAAUAUAUAGUGAAGUAAACAAGACAAACCAUUAGUUGAUCGAUUAUGCUUACGAACAGUAAAAAUAGACAAGUCCCUCAUUGCCAUGUAACUUCUAUUUUUAAAAUUUGUAGUCAUUAUCCUUAGUUCUACCAGAAACACUAGCCAGUUUUGUUUGUAUUGAGUUGAAGGUAUUGCUCAUGAAUGCCUGAUACUUAUCAUUGCAGUUUACCUCCAAAAAUUAAACUGUCACUUCCUCUCCUCACCUCAGGGUUCCCUCUUUAAAAACUAGUAGUUUCUCCAAAAGUUUUGGUGAGUUACAUAAGCAACCAUAGACAAUGAAAGAAUGAUUUUGUAGAAUAAUUUUUUUCUAGAAUUCCUAAUCAGUUUUCAGAGAGGGAGAACAAUACCCUGUGUGACUUCAAAUUAAUUUUCUCUACUUUGAGGUGUAACUUCCUGAUUAUAUUUUACAAAGCCUAUUAUUUUAAAAAAAGUUUAAAAGCCUCUUGCUAGGAUGUAUCGAGAGCCAGUUUAUAAAGCUUGUUAUUGCUGCCUCAACUUUACAUGUGAGUUGUAGACAGAAUCAAAGUUUGCUGUGUAAUUGAGAUUCACCUAUAUUUCAAAUUACAACAUUUCAUAAAUAUAUGUCACAUUAUAGAGAUGGAGACUCUUCCUGAUCUUUUGUGUGAAUAAUUUGUGGUUUUAUUUCUGAAACUAGAGUUGAUCUGUGCUGAUUUCAUACCUAUCAUUCCAAAGAUCUGAUUAUAUUUAUUUUCUUUGGUAAUUAAAAAUGCAAUGAAAAUCUAAUUUCAAAGUCAGAUAUUGAUAUUUCUAGACAUGGUCUAGUUCUAUAAGAAUUUACUUGUGAAUUUUAAGUAUUUGAUGUAGAUAGAUUAAUAUAUUUUCAUAGAACACUUUUUCUAAACUUAUUUCAGGACUGUAUUAGUCGCUUUUUUCAGGUGUAUGUGGUAACUGUUUGGAAUGAGAGUGCAGUGCCUUCACCAACUCAAAAAUGAUGUAAUACAUGUGAUAUCAUAGAAGGCGAAUGUGUUUAUACUGUACAUGGAAACCUAAUGCCUCUUUUCUAAAGCUUUGUACUUUUUCCAUGAAAUAAAUAUUUUCUCCUGAAGCCAUAUUUCUGUUUCAAUAUGCUUUCUCUUUUAAAUAUAUCAUGAGAUGAUUUUACUACUUGGAAACCAGCAAGCCGUGGUUUAUUUGAACUUUUGGGAAAAUAAG
rnacentral:lncRNA from 1 species